rnacentral:rRNA from 1 species
AUUCCAGCUCCAAUAGCGUAUAUUAAAGUUGUUGCAGUUAAAAAGCUCGUAGUUGGAUUUGUGGUGGCUUCCUUGGCCCAAAAUGUUUUGGUGCUGUUGGACGCUGCCAUCUUUGGGUGGAACCUGUGGGGCAUUAGGUUGUUUUGCAGGGGAUGCCCAUCGUUUACUGUGAAAAAAUUAGAGUGUUCAAAGCAGGCAUAUGCCGUUGAAUAGAUUAGCAUGGAAUAAUAAGAUAGGACUUUGGUACUAUUUUGUUGGUUUGCGUACCGAAGUAAUGAUUAAUAGGGACAGUUGGGGGUAUUCGUAUUCCAUUGUCAGAGGUGAAAUUCUUGGAUUUUUGGAAGACGAACUACUGCGAAAGCAUUUACCAAGGAUGUUUUC